GGGCCGAGCCGAGCCGAGCCGAGCCGAGCCGAGCGGCGGUACUCACAGACUUGGCGAUGGGGCAGCCCUGGGAGCUCUUCCCUUCUUUCCCCGUGUACUCUAUCUUCUCAAGCCGGACAGCCUUGCCCUUUUCGCCAAACCUGGGCUUGCUGUGUGAGGAGGGCAUGUUUGUUUCCAGUGCCCCGAGCUCCGGGGAGGAAGGACUCAGGAAGACCUAAGAACCAUCCAACUCACACUCCUGAACGUCUCCAUUCAUCUCAUGACGACGCCAAGACCUUGCCUCUGCAUGGACCCAGGUCCGCGGUGCGGAAGAGUUUUGGCGGGGGAACACAUCUCCUCACCUAGUCUCCAUGAGCUCCCUGAUAGCAGCAACACUCGGUCCUGCCCCCAGGACUAGCAAUUUAAGAUGGGGUCUCAGUAGAGCCUCGACUCGGUGACAGCCAAGGUGAUCUUGAACUCCUUCCUGAUGAGCCUGACUCUACUGCCAAAGGUCUGGGAUUACACACAGCUCUUCUGCCUGGGUAGUUUUCUAUAGUAACUGUGGACAAAGAGCAAUAAAUCUGAUAGAGUCAGCCUCAGUAUCCAAAGUGAUGCCGGAAAAAGUUAGCCUACUACAUUUCCACAGUUAUGUAUUUAUAAUAAAGGCGUACAAGAAAGUUA